rnacentral:lncRNA from 1 species
AUUAAUAAUACGUAAUUAUCUAAUUAAUUAAAUCACUAAUUAAUUAACUUAACUAAUUAUUUAUUACUAUUAUUAUUUUAAAAUUCCCUUUUGAUUUUUUCUACUCUUUUUCUAAAACAUUUUUAGGGGGUGGCCCUACCUGUAAGUGGCAUCGACCACACCACAACUCACACACAUACAUAUCCUGCACCCAAAAUCACCAUACACGCUCAUACACUUUUAUACACACAUCCACACAUAGAC